ACUCUACUGGGACUGAGACACGGCCCAGACUCCUACGGGAGGCAGCAGUAGGGAAUCUUCGGCAAUGGACGAAAGUCUGACCGAGCAACGCCGCGUGAGUGAAGAAGGUUUUCGGAUCGUAAAACUCUGUUGUUAGAGAAGAACAAGGACGUUAGUAACUGAACGUCCCCUGACGGUAUCUAACCAGAAAGCCACGGCUAACUACGUGCCAGCAGCCGCGGUAAUACGUAGGUGGCAAGCGUUGUCCGGAUUUAUUGGGCGUAAAGCGAGCGCAGGCGGUUUCUUAAGUCUGAUGUGAAAGCCCCCGGCUCAACCGGGGAGGGUCAUUGGAAACUGGGAGACUUGAGUGCAGAAGAGGAGAGUGGAAUUCCAUGUGUAGCGGUGAAAUGCGUAGAUAUA
rnacentral:rRNA from 1 species